UUUCCGUAGGUGAACCUGCGGAAGGAUCAUUACUAAGUGAGGGCCCUCUGGGUACAACCUACCACCCGAGCUGAUUGUACAUUUUUUCUUUCGUUAACCCCCGUCACGUCCGCUGGCGCUCCUCUACCCCCAGGGCCGCGCUCGCCGCAGCCACCCUCGUACUCGUGUUGAAGCUUGCAGUCUGAGCGAAACCUAAUUAAGUUAAAACUUUCAACAACUGAUCUCUUAGUUCCGGUAUCGAUGCAGAACCCAGUAGUUCUGCAGUGUAAUUAUCCCAAU
rnacentral:misc_RNA from 1 species